rnacentral:rRNA from 1 species
UACGUAGGGCGCAAGCGUUGUCCGGAAUUAUUGGGCGUAAAGAGCUCGUAGGCGGCUUGUCACGUCGGGUGUGAAAGCCCGGGGCUUAACCCCGGGUCUGCAUUCGAUACGGGCUAGCUAGAGUGUUGCAGGGGAGACUGGAAUUCCUGGUGUAGCGGUGAAAUGCGCAGAUAUCAGGAGGAACACCGGUGGCGAAGGCGGCAUCCUGGACCGACAUUGACGCUGAACGGCGAAAGCUAGGGGAGCAAACGGG